CGGAACGGGUAGGAGGUAACGCGUGAGGAACCUGCCUCAGAAGGGGGGACAACAGUUGGAAACGACUGCUAAUACCGCAUAAGCCCACGGCUCGGCAUCGAGCAGAGGGAAAAGGAGCAAUCCGCUUUGAGAUGGCCUCGCGUCCGAUUAGCUAGUUGGUGAGGUAACGGCCCACCAAGGCGACGAUCGGUAGCCGGACUGGGAGGUUGAACGGCCACAUUGGGACUGAGACACGGCCCAG
rnacentral:rRNA from 1 species